rnacentral:lncRNA from 1 species
CGCCGCGGCCCCACCCUCCCGCAUCAGCACCGGCUGGGUGGGUGCGGAGUGCGCCAGCGGCCAAGUCAAGACUCCUUGAAUGCUCAGGAAGGUGUGACUUGCAGAGGAGUUGAUUCCUUCUUAUGUACAUUUACUGGAGAAGUUUACAGCAGGAGACUGGGGUCUGAGACACACGCAUCUUUGUGUGCCCCAAAGAAUAAAGCCCUCAAAGGAUGUGAAGCCUGAACUCACUUCAAAUGCUGGAAAGGCCCUUUCCUUAGCUGAGCUGUGGAGGAACCAGGACUCCUGUGGCACUGCCCUAACGAGGAGGCAGUGCUGCCAGAUUCAGAAAAAUAUUUGAAGAAUCACAUAGUCAAAAGCAAAAAUCCAGAAAUGGUCAAGAGAACUACGAUUAUUGAGCCUCACUGAGUGUUCACACUGGUCUGCAAGACAGCUUUGAUUCAGCUGAUUUCAGCCAGGCUCACCCCGACUUUGCAGGGCGCUGCGAACCCCAGCCUUCAGGUCGGGUUCAGCAUCCAGCAGUGCCCUGGAAAAGUGGCUGUGAAGUUACUUGCAAGACUGCAUUGAACCCGGGCGAGACACUUCUCAGGGGAGCUGUCCAGCUACAUUCUCUGAGUGAA